UCUAAGAGACUAGUUCAUUGUUUAGGCGAUUCAAAAGUUGAAUUGUUUGUGAUCAAUAUUGAAAGAAGCAAAUAAAUUAGUAAAACUAAAUGAGAAAGCAUCAAGGUUAUGACAUUCAGGUUCCCUAGUUGUAUUUUAACUAAUGAAUCCCGCCAUUGCCAAUUGCCCAAUUAUACUUCUCAAGUUGCCAAAUUGGAGACAACCGUUGACUAGCUAACAGUCGUACCUCAAAUUCACUCCCUAAAGCAACCAUCAUUGGAAGCGUUAGCUUGAAAUAGGCCUGAAGUGUUGAGAAGUUGUCUUCCUAAGGGAUGUUUCACAGUCCAGCCUUUUCUGGACGAAUUGGAAAUAUUGAAAAACCUAAUCCUAACACCCCGGACGGGCUAAGAGUGACCCGCCUAAUGCUCAGUUCUCUCCCAGUUUCUGUCAGCAUCCAAUUUAUAACAUUGUUCGAUGAAUGCUGCAUAUAUACACAUGAGGGUUUUGAAGCAGCUGUGGCAGCUGGUUCUUGUGCUAGAUAAGUAGCACUUUUUGCAUCAGCUGCUUCUGAAUCAUCUUCAAAAUCAAAUAUUAACUGCUGCGUUGUAGAUAGUCUUGCUCGUUAUAGAGCUGUUACUCGUAUUCAAUUCCUGUUCGAGGGUAUGCCUUUUAUUUUGCUUUAUAUAACUGUUUGUGUUUAGUUUUGGUUCUUCAUGAAUCCAAGGAUUUUAUUGGUUAUACUGUAACUUUGUUGAGUGUCUAAUGCAAAGUGCCAAGUAUGGUGUACCCAAAAGUAAAA